AUGCACGCUGGCGGCGUGCCUCAUACAUGCAAGUCGAGCGCACAGACGAGGAGCUUGCUCCUCUGACGUUAGCGGCGGACGGGUGAGUAACACGUGGAUAACCUACCUAUAAGACUGGGAUAACUUCGGGAAACCGGAGCUAAUACCGGAUAAUAUAUUGAACCGCAUGGUUCAAUAGUGAAAGACGGUUUUGCUGUCACUUAUAGAUGGAUCCGCGCCGCAUUAGCUAGUUGGUAAGGUAACGGCUUACCAAGGCAACGAUGCGUAGCCGACCUGAGAGGGUGAUCGGCCACACUGGAACUGAGACACGGUCCAGACUCCUACGGGAGGCAGCAGUAGGGAAUCUUCCGCAAUGGGCGAAAGCCUGACGGAGCAACGCCGCGUGAGUGAUGAAGGUCUUCGGAUCGUAAAACUCUGUUAUUAGGGAAGAACAAAUGUGUAAGUAACGAUGCACGUCUUGACGGUACCUAAUCAGAAAGCCACGGCUAACUACGU
rnacentral:rRNA from 1 species